GCAAGUCUGGUGCCAACAGCGGCGGUAAUUCCAGCUCCAAUAGCGUAUAUUAAAGUUGUUGCAGUUAAAAAGCUCGUAGUUGAAUUUCGGGAUCAAUAUUUCGGUCAUGCCGUUGGUAUGCACUGUUAUCAUUGAUUUCUCACCUUCUAAAGAACCAUAAUGCCAUUAAUUUGGUGUUACGGGGAAUUAGGACUGUUACCUUGAAAAAAUUAGAGUGUUUAAAGCAGGCUCACGCUUGAAUACAUUAGCAUGGAAUAAUGAAAUAGGACAUCCGAUUCUAUUUUGUUGGUUUCUAGGAUCGAUGUAAUGAUUAAUAGGGAUAGUUGGGGGCAUUAGUAUUCAAUUGUCAGAGGUGAAAUUCUUGGAUUUAUUGAAGACUAACUACUGCGAAAGCAUUUGCCAAGGAUGUUUUCAUUAAUCAAGAACGAAAGUUAGGGGAUCGAAGACGAUCAGAUACCGUCGUAGUCUUAACCAUAAACUAUGCCGACUAGGGAUCGGAUGAUGUUAAUUUUUUAAUGACUCAUUCGGCGCCUUACGGGAAAC
rnacentral:rRNA from 1 species